rnacentral:rRNA from 1 species
AGAAUGAACGCUGGCGGCGUGCUUAACACAUGCAAGUCGAACGGAAUAUAAGGAGCUUGCUCCGAACUAUUUAGUGGCGAACGGGUGAGUAACACGUGAGUAAUCUGCCCCUAGCUCUGGGAUAGCUCCGGGAAACCGGGAUUAAUACCAAAUACGACCACUUUAGACAUCUGUUGUGGUGGAAAGAAUUUUGGCUAGGGAUGAGCUCGCGGCCUAUCAGCUUGUUGGUGAGGUAACGGCUCACCAAGGCGACGACGGGUA